AUGGACAAGAUCCUGACAGCAUCGUUUUUACUCCUAGGCCUUCACCUGGCUGGGGUGAGUGGCCAGCAGGAGAGACGUGACCAGCAGCAGGUGAAACAAAGUCCCCAAUCUCUGACAGUCUGGGAAGGAGAAACCACAGUUCUGAACUGCAGUUAUGAGGACAGCACUUUUAGCUACUUCCCAUGGUAUCGGCAGUUCCCUGGGGAAGGCCCUGUACUCCUGAUAGCCAUAAGUUCAGUGUCCAGUAAAAAGGAAGACGGAAGAUUCACAAUCUUCUUCAGGAAAAGUGAGAAACGUCUCUCCUUGCACAUUGAAGACUCUCAGCCUGGAGACUCAGCCACCUACUUCUGUGCAGCAAGGGCACAGUGUUCUCCACACACCUGCAGCCCAGACCCAAACCUGCAGCUGAGGCUCCAGCAAAGCCCUGCUGUGGGCUGA